UAGGGAAUCUUCCACAAUGGACGAAAGUCUGAUGGAGCAACGCCGCGUGAGUGAAGAAGGUUUUCGGAUCGUAAAGCCCUGUUGUUGGUGAAGAAGGAUAGAGGCAGUAACUGGUCUUUAUUUGACGGUAAUCAACCAGAAAGUCACGGCUAACUACGUGCUAG
rnacentral:rRNA from 1 species